UUCACUGACCUUUCGUUUCAGAGCUUCAUUCAUCCCAGUGAGAGCUGCUGCUCGGUCUCUGUCCUCCCAUCCAGCGGUGCGCUGCGUCCACAUCUGCAUCUGGGAAGGACCGCAACCAGAGGGACUUGUCUCUGCUGCGUCGCAGGCUCCAGGAUCUGGAUGAGCGCCCAGCAGCUGCAGCUGGAAGAACUGGGAUCUGUGGCGCAGACUGACCUGGCCCCCGGUCCCCAGCCUGACCUCUGACCCCUACACUGCUUCACAUUGGACUUGCACUACAAUGAGCCCAGGUUUCCAAUCAAAGACACCAACAGUGUGUUUUUUUUUUUACUAAAUACUUUGAAAGUUUAUUGAUGCAUUUACACGUCUCGCUACUGUGAUCCACCUCAGGAUUUGAUGAUGUUUUUAUACUUUUGCUCUCGAGUCACAGAGUUGAUACAAAGGUUGAACACACUCCAGGCUGUGAAUUACACAAUGUUUAUACCGACUGUUGAUGUCACAUCCACCCUGUUUUACAUGAAUGAUAUUGAUAAAAGACAAUGAUUUACCGAUAAACACUUUUUGUGACA